rnacentral:rRNA from 1 species
CGAACGCUGGCGGCGUGCUUACCACAUGCAAGUCGACCGGAAAGGCCUGCUUUCCCUUGUGGAUUGCGGGUGCUCGAGUGGCGAACGGGUGAGUAACACGUGAGUGAUCUGCCCCCAACUUGGGUAUAAGCCUGGGAAACUGGGUCUAAUUCCCGAUAGGACUGCAGGGUGGUGCCUGUGGUGGAAAACGAUUUUCUAGUGGUUGGGGAUGAGCUCGCGGCCUAUCAGCUUGUUGGUGGGGUAAUGGCCUACCAAGGCGGCGACGGGUAGCCGGCCUGAGAGGGUGGACGGCCACAUUGGGACUGAGAUACGGCCCAGACUCCUACGGGAGGCAGCAGUGGGGAAUAUUGCACAAUGGGCGGAAGCCUGAUGCAGCGACGCCGCGUGGGGGAUGACGGCCUUCGGGUUGUAAACUCCUUUCGACCGCGAGGAAGCCACCUGGUUGGAAGGGUGGUGACGGUAGUGGUAGAAGAAGCACCGGCUAACUACGUG